rnacentral:rRNA from 1 species
AGUGAACGCUGGCGGUAGGCCUAACACAUGCAAGUCGAACGGCAGCACAGUAAGAGCUUGCUCUUACGGGUGGCGAGUGGCGGACGGGUGAGGAAUACAUCGGACUCUACUUUUUCGUGGGGGAUAACGUAGGGAAACUUACGCUAAUACCGCAUACGACCUACGGGUGAAAGCAGGGGAUCUUCGGACCUUGCGCGAUUGAAUGAGCCGAUGUCGGAUUAGCUAGUUGGUGGGGUAAAGGCCCACCAAGGCGACGAUCCGUAGCUGGUGUGAGAGAAUGAUCAGCCACACUAGAACUGAGACACGGUCCAGACUCCUACGGGAGGCAGCAGUGGGGAAUAUUGGACAAUGGGCGCAAGCCUGAUCCAGUCAUACCGCGUGGGUUAAGAAGGCCUUCGGGUUGUAAAGCCCUUUUGUUGGGAAAGAAAAGCAGCAGGUUAAUACCCCGCUGUUCUGACGGUAACCAAAGAAUAAGCACCGGCUAACUUCGUG